GCAUGUGGGAUCCUCGCGGACUGGGGCACGAACCCGCGUCCGCUGCAUCGGCAGGCGGACUCUCAACCACUGCGCCACCAGGGAAGCCCUACUACCGGACUUUGCAGGAACUACAGGAGGGACCUAACCUGAGAACAAAGCCUCCCACAGGAAAAGAGUCGGACCUCCGUAAUAGGAACCAGAGAGCCCCAGACCCAGCCGGUGCUCGAGAUGCUCCAGCCCAGCCUGUUUAUCUUGUGAGCUGCGGCAGCUCUGUCCCCGUGUGAUUACAUCUUUCCUUGGUAAUGGGGUUUUGACUGGCCUUUUGUAUAAUGCCGAGCCACCAUGGGACUGGAAUAUUCUCCCCUUAUUUUUAUCGGGCGCUUUUAUUUCCUGAGCUGUUUUGUGAAGUGUGCCUGUUUCUGGUUUUGCUCCUGGUCAGGAAAGGGGCCCAGGAUUCAGGGAGAAGAUCAGAUGCCCUGGUGUGUGAACUGGUCUUUCAAAGAAGGAAGCAGGAGUUGAUCACCUGCUGAAGCUCAGGGCCAAUGCAGAGCUGCCUCCCAAGAGGCCAAUCAAUUUCAAUUAAGGAGAUUAAAAGCCCCGAGCGCAGGGAGGGCUGGUCACGGGCUUCUGAAUGCCUUGCUUCUCCAGCAGCCUGAGAGCAGGCCAUGGGCCCCAGAAGCGCUGGACGGUGUCCUAUGGGCCAGUGUCAAGAUGGCAGUGAGGGGUCAAAUGCAAAAGGAGAAGCUGGCUGAAGGGGCUCGUGAUUCUUCAGGGGCCCUAGUGGCAUUUGGGGCAGGACGGACCUGUCAGUGUCCUCAGCCCCAUCAAGUAUCCAGUGUCCCUAGUCACUGAGCUGUCCCAACUCAACCCAGCCCAAUCCCCACCCCCGCUUCCUGGUGGGACCACCCUGGGCUCCCGGCAGCUGCCUCUGAUCUGCUGUGUAGGUGAAGGGCAGGCCUUCUGCGGCUUCCGGGUGGAGAGCUGGUUCUCCUCGUCUGGACCCUCCUUCUCCACUGGGCAUCCCAGAGGCUCUGUGUCUGCUACCUUUCCGAGCUGCUCGGGCAUCCUAGAGGCCACACCCCCGAGGGGUAAGGGCAGAGGCCAGAGUGGGACGUCUGGUGGAGGAGAGGGGCUUUGGCAUCACACAGACCCAGGGCUGAGCCCGCCUCUGCCCCUUACUGGCUCUGCGUUGGCCCUGAGUCAGCACGUGACCAGCCUGUGCUUUUUUUUUUUAAAAACCAGUGGACACCCCAGGGCAUCCAAUCUGUGCCCAGGCAACCAAGUGAGCCUCACUUUCCAUGUUUAUAAAAGGGAGCUCUCCACCCCGGGCUCACAGGAAGAACGGCCUGUACCUACAGUGUCUGAUGUCCCCAAGCCCCCUCUGAUUGUGGUGGCCCAGGGUAGACAGGGGACCGGAGGCAAAAAUUACACUCAGCUCCCCAGACCUGGAGAUUUUUGUUCAGAAGCCAAUAAAUCAACAGCAUCGCGAGGAUUCGAUGCACGUGCUUUGUACGCUGUAAGCGCUAGGUAGGGGUCGAAGGGCGGGGGCGGGAGAACUGGGGCCGUGGGAAGAGAGUGCACAGGAUGCAGGGGAGGAAGGAGGAAGGAACCUCCAGGAGGGGGAGCGGCCUGAGGCUGAUGGGAACCACGGUGUCUGUUAGGCAGGAAAGAGAAGCCAGGUCCAGCUUCGCGGGCAGCAGCAACUACAGAGACAAGCACAGACUUUGCUGGGAAGCCCAGGAGGCUGAAGCCGCCGUCCCCCCGGCCCUCGGGGGUGAGGUUCCCUCGAAGGACUGGCUGUUCGUCCGGGGGGGUCUCUUCCUUCUAUCGGCUGCUUACCCUUCUGGCUACUUUCCUAUUAACAAGACAGCCUGGGGAAGGAAGGGGGCGGGGAGGGAGGCUCAUUUCAGGCCAUUUGGCUUCUUGUUUAAUCUAAAGGACAGGAUGGCCACUGUAGAAAGUGACCUUAUCAAGAAGGAUGGGGUCACAGAGCUCCAAACCCUUGUGGGGAACCAGGUACAGGGCGGGUCACAGACUUACCCAAGGUCACCCUCGUUAACAGCAGGGCCAGUCUCCUGCUGUCCUGCUACACCCCCCAGCCUCCCGGGCCUGCUUUCAUCCCUGACCUACUUCUCCCAGGAUAAUUGAGAAAUGAGUGAUGGGAGCUGCAGGCUUCUGCUUGCUGUCGAGAGCUGGGUGGCUGUUCAUAAACUUUUAAAGCAUCUGGACCUUUCUCUAAAACAACAACAAAAUCAGUCUCAGGCACGUUGCGUUAUAUAAAAAUGGUCUUAUUCUUGAUACAAAUUUAUUUCACAAAUGCAGAGAAGUGGAACGUACCAUUUGUACCGAAGAGGAGGAAAUGAUUGCUAUAAGGAGAUUUAAGGUUGCUAAGAAUGGGGUAGGAGAGUUUCCAAAAGGAAUCCCACCUCGAGGUGGGACUGGCUUUGUGGGAGGGAUGGGAUUAUGACCCCCAGCCCUUCCUUCCUGAGAUGGAGACCUGAGGGAUGGCACGAGGGCAGGUUGUGGCCCCCAAGUUAGGCAGUAGGAAGGGGAUGGCGUGUGAUGUGUCCUAGGACCUGCCUUCAAACCCAGCACCUUGUAGGGACAGGUUUGUGUCCUGGGGAACUGGCUUUGUCAUGUCAUGUCAUGGGAACCCUGCCAAUUUUGUUAAGGACCCAAGGGGGGAAAUGCUGCCAGUAAAGGAAGCGCCAGACGGCAGGAGGCUCAGCCUCAGCAACAGGGCCUUGGGUUGUCAGUAGCAGAGCCAGAGUCUUUGUCCGUUCGGGUUGCUAUAGUAAAAUACCACAGACUGGGGGGUUAAACAGCACACAUUUAUUUCUCACACUUAUGGAGGCUGGAAGUCUGAGAUCAAGGUGCCAGCAGACUUGGUUCCUGGUAAGGCCUCUCCUCCUGGCUUGCAGACGGCCACCUUCUCGCUGUGUCCUCACAGGGCGGAGAGAGAACACUCUGGUGUCUCUUCCUCUUAAAAGGGCACCAAUCCCAUCAUGGGGGCCUCACCCUCAUGACCUCAUCUAAACCUAAUUUCCGCCCAGAGGCCCCACCCCCUUAUACCAUCAUACUGGGGGUCAGGGCUUCAACAUGUGGAUUUUGGGGGGGACACAGACAUUCAGCCCAUAACACCUGGGCUCCAUGCCUCCCCAUCAUCUCUUUGUCUCCCUAUUCAUUUAUGCUGGCCUCUGAGCAGUGCUUCUCAAGGUGUCCAUGGUAAGGAACCAGUUUUUUUUUUUUUUUUCUUUUGGCCGCCCCCCUCAGUUUUCAGAAUCCUACUUCCCCGACCAGGGAUUGAACCCAGGGCCAUGGCAGUGAAAGUGCCGAGUCCUAACCACUGGACCGCCAGGGAAGUCCCAAGGACCAGUUUCGUUAUUUGCAAUGAAGUAUGAUGUGUGCUGAGAAAAAUGAGAUGAUUGUAUGAAAUACAAGCUCAUUUUCUUUUUUAUGAUUGGGUUCCAUGCCCUAGCAUUGCUGUUGAAUUGGCAUGAAUGCCCCUGAAUGCUCCUGCUUGCUUUCUGUCUCCAUCUCAUUCUGGAGCAGGGACCGAACGAACCUUUGAGGGCCUCCUGCUGCAGACCACCCUUUCAGUGGCGCUGUUUAGAGCUCCAUAGAAAGUACGCCAUCAGCCAUGGAGAGGUGUUAUCUGAAGCUUCCAGAGACAAAAUGUCAUGAGCCCCAGCUCAGCAAGGUCCUCACUGGGCCUUUUCACCUUUGUUGUCUUGGGAUGUGUGGGGUCUGUAAGGAGGAUGGUAAUCUGGUUGCCUCUCUCUCAAUGGCAUUCUGAGGUAGCAGAAGCACAGGCCUGAGUCGGAGAGCGGAAGGCAAAUCUACCUCCCCCACUUGCGAGCUGUGUGAAUUUGGGGUGAGUGAUUAACUGGUAUGUGCCUCAGUUUCUCCAUCUAGCAAAUGGAGGUGAUGGUAGCUUCCCCUCAGGGAGCUUCCCCUCAGGGAGGUGAAGAUUAAGUGAGACGUGCCUGAACUAGGCACGGUGCCCCAUCCCUCUCUCUUCCUCCUUCCUCUGAAGAAGGGCCCCAGUGCAGAGGUAGGACUCUGCCCCAGGGGAGAGAGGCGUGCGCUUGACAAGAGCAGAGGGUCGUCUUUCACAAAAAUCACAGGAUGUCCGAAAAGAGGGUCUGAGUCAGCACAACUGGGAAUCCAGACAGGAAUGAAGAUUUCCCUGGAGAAAAUUUCCCCAGCAAGAGCACUGGAGCAAGAAAGGUCGGAUGUCAGACCGGUUGACCAGAUAGCUCAAAUCCUGCAUUCAGAUUUUCUGGGGGAUGAUGCUCUGACCAGAGAGGAGACUGACCUCCAUGGUAUCUAACAUAAAUACGAUGUCUGUGAGCACUGUGGUUUCUGGGUUUCGCUCAGUAAGCCUCAAAAGCACGAUCUUGGGGCAUUGAGAUGAAUGUCACGAGACCCGGGGCCUGACGCUCAUCAGCAGCAGAGUGGCAGCAGAGGGCCCUGUAUUCGUUUGCUCAGGCUGCCGUAACAAAGUCCUGCGGACUAGGCCGUUUAAACAACAGAAAUGUCUUGUCUCACAUCUGGUGGCUAGAAACCUGAGAUCAAGGUGUGGGCAGAGUUGGCUCCUGCUGAGGGCUGUGACAGAAGGGUCUGUUCCAGGCUUCUCUCCUUGGCCUGUGGUUGGCUGUCUUCCCCCUGUGUCUUCACGUCGUCUUCCCGCUGUACGUGUCUUGUGUCCCAAUUUCCCCUUCUUAUAAGGACACCAGUCAUAUUGGAUUAGGGCCCACCCUAGUCAUGUCACUUUAAAUUAAUUACCUCUUUAAAGGCCCUAUCUCCACAUACAGUCACAUUCUGAGGUCCUGGGGGUGUAUGGAUGCAACAUAUGAAUUCUGGGGCCAAUUCGGCCCGUUAGAGCCCUUGAACCAACUGGGCUCAAUUUCACCAGCAGAGAGAUAAUGGGUGCGCCUGUGGUUUUCCAGAUUUCUCCUGAUUUUAAGCAGAUUAAGGUUCAGCCCAGAAUUGUGCAUCAACCUGCCACAUGCAGCUGAAUGUGUGACUUAGGCCAUGUCAUCUUUCCAGGUUAAAAUUUAUUUAUAAAGCACAGAUAAUGAAAAUAACGUCUAUUUAUCUCCCUAGGUGUUCUGAGCCUUAAGUUACAGAUGCAGGGGUGAUGCGUUACAAAACCAAACAAAUCAGUCCUUAGGACAGGCGACUCAGGCAAAUCGACCAUCCCCACCACAACAAAAGAAGCUUUCAAACCCACAAGACAAGACAAGAUUGUAAUGCCUUCCUAACAGCAUUGCUUUAUUGACGCAAGGCAAGGAAAACGACAUUAAAUUCUAUUGAUUCUCUUUGAGAUCUAAUAAUAUGCUUUAUUCAGAUCUUAUUCACAUCCCUCUUCUUCCAUGGGUCUAUCUCAGGAGCUGACAUUGGCCAGUUACAAAACAGAAUUGGUUCUGCUGUCAUUGGAAGUCACAGAGGCGAAUGUGUUUUCGAACACAAAAUCUACCAUGCUUUCUUUGGGAAAUAAGGCACAGCUGGAAAAAAAAAAUCUCACUUCAAAACAAAAUUGAAAGCAUGGCUAACUUGAGAUUUAUUUGAUUAGUCUUUCUCUGGGCUAAUCAGUUUUAGAACCCAUUCCUAUUGGCACCAAUGCGCCGAUAAAAUAUCCAGCAGGAGAGAAGUAUCACAUCACUCAGAGAAACAAGGUUGUUCUUUUUUUUUUUUUUUUUUUUCGGCGCCGGGGCCCCUCCAGAGCCGGCAGCCUCAGUGAGGCCGCCCUCCCCUCGGCCUCCGGGGCACUUCCGUGACGGCGGAGGGAAGAGACCCCGAGCUGCGGGAGUUCCAGCUCUGUGGAAACGCGGGCUCCGUUCUGGGCGCAGGGGGUGGGACCCGCUUGUUCAUUUUUUAAAAAAGCAUUGAAUUAAUGUUUACACUGCUGAGUCAAGUUAUUUAUACAUAUGCUAUAGGUUUUGCAUCUCCAGAAUAUGUUUGCAUUAACAGUAUGAUAAAUUGUACCUGACUUACUUGUGAAAAAUCAUCUUGAGAAAGGUUUUUUUUUCCCUGGGAAAAUAUGGAAAUGACACAUGGUGUGUACAGCCAGAAACACUCAGCAGAAGGAGAGGCGGGUUUUUAGCUGUCGCAAUGGAUGGUUAAGAAUUUCGGAUUUGGGUCAGUGUCAUUACGCUCAAGUCACUUCACCUCGAAACCUCAUUCUUCAUCUCCAGAAUAGGUUCCAAACUCAGUGUUUUCUGUAAAUAUUCAAUAGGAUAAUACACGCACAGAGUUCGACAUUAACCCUCCCAGAGGCCAAUAAGAAUCCAAUAAAUGCCAACUUCUCUAUCAUAUUCUUACAGAAGAAUGCUUGCCUGCUUUACCUUUCGUCUGUGGAAAAAUCACAAAAAGGAUUAAGUUUGUUGAAAAGAAAGGUGGGUCUUGGGCCCCCUUAGCACACGUUUUCUCCAUCCUUUCUAAAAAGUGAUGCUAACAAGCGAACAGGUGUUAUAGGGAGAAGGUGGAGUAACCAGAACAUUCCUACUUUGCUGGUGGGAAUGUAAAAGAGUGUAGACCUUUUGGAAAACUCUUUGGUGGUGCCUCAAAAGUUAAACAGAUAUGGCCCAACAGUUCCACUCCUAGGUAUAUACUCAGGAGAAUUGAAAACAUGCAUUCAUACAAAAACUGGUUCAUAAAUGUUCACCGCAGGAUUAUUUGCCGUAGUGGAAAGGUGGAAAGACACAGCUCAAGUGUCUAGCAACUAAUGAAUGGAUAAACAACAUAUGGGACAGCCGUGCCAGGGAAUUUUAUUUGGCAACAAGGGACAGUGAGGUACGGACACAAGCUACAACAUGGAUAAACCCUGAAAACAUGAUGCUGAUGGAAAGAAACCAGUCGCAAAAGGCUACAUACAGCAUGAUUUCAUUCAUACGGAACAUGCAGAAUAAACAGCUCUAUAGAGAUAGAAAGUAAUUCGUGGUUGCCUAGGGCUGGGAGGGAGGGCAGGAAUGGGGAGCGACCGCUAAUGGACACAGGGUUUCUUUUUGGAAGGAUGAAAAUUUUCUGCAAUUAGAGAGUGAUGAUGGUCAUACAACUUUGUGAAUAUUCUCAGGACGCUGAACUAUACCUUCUAAAAUGGUGAAUUUUAUGCUUUAUGAAUUGUAUCUGGAAAAAAAAAUCAAUGAAUGCUUAAUGUGGAAAAUAAGAAAACAAGGAAACAAAAAUUGUCAUUGUAGCAUCCAGAGAUAACCACUGCAAAUGCUUUGACGUAGAUCCUUCCAGACUGAUGCAAAUAUAUACAUUUAAAAAAUAAAAUAAAAUGGGAUCAUACCAAACAUACUGUUGAGUGAAAGGUUUUUUUUUUUUGUAUUACUGUUACUUUUCCCCUCGAUAUUAAGAAAUUGCCUCUCUAAACGUAGGCGGCAUCCACCUCAGAGUCUUCUCAAAUGUCUUGCCUUUCCACUUUCCUCGGCCAAGCCGUGCUUCUUCUCUUUCCAAAGCUCUUCUUAGGACUUUUCAAGCGAAUCUAUUCGCCUUGGAUCACCAGAGUGCUUUCAGUUGCUUCCUGUCACAGCUUGACCUGUUACAAGCUAUUCAUUCAUAUCCAUGAUUUCAGUGGAAUUGUUCCCUAAACCCAUAUUUCUACCUUGACCUCUAUUCCAUACACUAGUCCUGCAUCUCCAAAUGCCUACUGGAAAUUCCCACUUGAACAUUCAUCACUGACAUUAUCAUAAGACUAAACUCGAACUCAUUAUAUUUUUCAAUGCCCCAGCCAGGCACAGCGGAAGAUUUGAAUUUUGAAGUGGACGUUCAUGCCCACACUUGACCUUUCUCAUUCAAGUCAAGCUUUUUAGAAGCCGUGGAAACCUACUCUGGCUAACUUAGAAAAGGUAGGUAUGGAGGGAGAUGGGGUAGCUCACACAAUAGGCAGGGGGGAAGGCCGGGGAACCAGUUGGAAAAAGGGCAGGAAAAUGGCAUUCCGGGGGCUGCACGGCAGUGACCACAGCCAGGUCGGCCCCCGAGCGAGGUCUGGGCCAGUGCCUGCUGCUGGUACAGGCAUCCCUGCCGCUGCUGCUGGGUAUGCUAAUGGUCCCGCGUCACUCUAGCAAUUGCUCAGAGUGAAGAGAGCAGUCAGAUAUGGGACAGUGUAAAGAAAAACAAGUGCCUAUCCACUUAGUCCUGGUUUCCUUAAACCAAGAAAAAUGGAGAUCAUUUUCCU